rnacentral:lncRNA from 1 species
AUGAAUAUUAAUUCAGCUGUCUUUCACUGGGUCAAGCCGGAGCAGUUUUGCCCUUUCUUUGCAGAAGAUCUUUUUGACUCUCCAUGGCCAUUUUGCAGACCAUACCAUGGGGGAGUUAUGACCACCCGACAGCACUUCAGCAGCAGAGGUGGUUACCACAAAAAGGUAAAGGUUUCUUCUGAGAACAGGCUGAUCCAGACCGAUAUCUUCCAUUGA